AUGGCUAAGAAGAGCUGGUUUAAUCUGGUGAAGAGGCUUUUCAUAUGGGACGCACAUUCCACACAAGAGAAGUUUUUUUUCUUCUUCUUAUUCUCUAAGAUUCUGUAUAUUCUAAUGAGAAAGAAAAACUUGAUCUCAGAAAGAGAAAAGAAGGAAAUUGAUAUUUGGAAAACUAAAAACCAGGAAGUUACCUUCAAUUACAGCUCCAACAACAACAUCAAAUGA